rnacentral:lncRNA from 1 species
GAAAAUGGAAAGUGACUCUGGGUCGAGAGCUCUAGGCUCUAAAAUAGGAAAUAAUGACUCUGGGUCGAAAUGGAAAGUGACUCUGGGUCGAGAGCUCCGGGCUCUAAAAUAGGAAACAAUGACUCUGGGUCGAAAUGGAAAGUGACUUUGGGUCGAGAGCUCUGGGCUCUAAAAUAGGAAAUAAUGACUCUGGGUCGAAAUGGAAAGUGACUCUGGGUCGAGAGCUCUGGGCUCUAAAAUAGGAAACAAUGACUCUGGGUCGAAAUGGAAAGUGACUCUGGGUCGAGAGCUCUGGGCUCUAAAAUAGGAAAUAAUGACUCUGGGUCGAAAUGGAAAGUGACUCUGGGUCGAGAGCUCCGGGCUCUAAAUAGAUAGCCGAUCAGGAUACUUUCCGACUCAAGGUGUCGGGUCGAGGCCACUCACAAGUGGCUAGAAUGAUGUAAAUGACUCUGGGUCGUGAGCUCAGGGCUCGGGGUGCUAUAAAUGACUCUGGGUCAAGAUGGAAAAUGACUCUGGGUCGAGAGCUC